rnacentral:rRNA from 1 species
UGCGAUGGGGUGACGGAGUAGUGAAAGGACUGCGUACUGACGGAAUAGUACGUUAAAGGGUGUAGGUAUAAGAACUGUAGGUAAAUCCGCAGAUCUUGCUGAACCUGAUAGUACCACAAGCCUUCGGGCAAGUGGAUAAUGUCCCUAAUCAGACUUCCAAGAAAAACCUCUAAGCUUCAGGUUACAACAACUCGUACCGUAAACCGACACAGGUAGUCAAGGAGAGAAUCCU